rnacentral:rRNA from 1 species
UACGAAGGGGGCUAGCGUUGCUCGGAAUCACUGGGCGUAAAGGGUGCGUAGGCGGGUCUUUUAAGUCAGGGGUGAAAUCCUGGAGCUCAACUCCAGAACUGCCUUUGAUACUGAAGAUCUUGAGUUCGGGAGAGGUGAGUGGAACUGCGAGUGUAGAGGUGAAAUUCGUAGAUAUUCGCAAGAACACCAGUGGCGAAGGCGGCUCACUGGCCCGAUACUGACGCUGAGGCACGAAAGCGUGGGGGAGACAA